rnacentral:rRNA from 1 species
UACGUAGGGUGCGAGCGUUGUCCGGAAUUAUUGGGCGUAAAGAGCUUGUAGGCGGUUUGUCGCGUCUGCUGUGAAAACCUGAGGCUCAACCUCAGGCCUGCAGUCGAUACGGGCGGACUUGAGUACUGCAGGGGAGACUGGAAUUCCUGGUGUAGCGGUGAAAUGCGCAGAUAUCAGGAGGAACACCGGUGGCGAAGGCGGGGUCUCUGGGCCGUAACUGACGCUGGAGGAGCGAAAGCGUGGGGAGCGAACAGG